UACGUAGGGGGCGAGCGUUGUCCGGAUUUAUUGGGCGUAAAGAGCUCGUAGGCGGUUCGGCAAGUCAGAUGUAAAAACUCCAGGCUCAACUUGGAGAGGCCAUCUGAUACUGCCGUGACUAGAGUCCGGUAGAGGAGCACGGAAUUCCUGGUGUAGCGGUGAAAUGCGCAGAUAUCAGGAAGAACACCCGUGGCGAAAGCGGCUCUCUGGAACGGUACUGACGCUGAGACGCGAAAGCGUGGGGAGCGAACAGG
rnacentral:rRNA from 1 species